rnacentral:rRNA from 1 species
CCUACGAGUGGCAGCAGUGAGGAAUAUUGGUCAAUGGACGAGAGUCUGAACCAGCCAAGUAGCGUGAAGGAUGACUGCCCUAUGGGUUGUACACUUCUUUUAUAAAGGAAUAAAACGAGGCACGUGUGCCUUUUUGCAUGUACUUUAUGAAUAAGGAUCGGCUAACUCCGUGCCAGCAGCCGCGGUAAUACGGAGGAUCCGACCGUUAUCCGGAUUUAUUGGGUUUAAAGGUCGCGUAGAUGGGUUGUUAAGUAAGUUGUGAAAGUUUGCGGCGCAACCGUAAAAUUGCAAUUGAUACUGGCAGUCUUGAGUACAGUUGAGGUAGGCGGAAUUCGUGGUGUAGCGGUGAAAUGCUUAGAUAUCACGAAGAACCCCGAUUGCGAAGGCAGCUUACUAAACUGUGACUGACAUUGAUGCUCGAAAGUGUGGGUAUCAAACAGGAUUAGAUACCCUAGUAGUC